AGAUUUCUUUCUUGUGAGUAACUGGCUGCUCAUGAGUGAGCCUCAUCCCCUGGAAUGAGGAUUCAGAAAGAAUGUGAGAACCCAGCCAAAGCACAGAUGAAAGCUUUACCCCUUUAUAGAACAUCUGCCUCAUCAUAAACUUUGGAAGUAUAAAUCUAAAAUACCUGGACAUGCCCAUAAGAUUAAGAUGAGCAGAAACUUUGUGAAAACAUCCUUCUACAUUCUUACUUCUACAAGCAUCAGAUUUUGAAGUACAAAAUGUGUCAGGACUACAAAAAAGAAAAAUGCAAAAGACAAGCAGGCAACAUACAAAUGAAAAAGGGUUAUCCCUACUAAAUGGCCACCAGACAUGUAUGAGAGCAACUUUUUCCAUAACAGGUCAGUAAUGGUUAUGGAAUGUUAGUAGCAUUGGUGCAUGUUGAAGACAUGGCUGUUUUACAUAAUGUAAAGGGAUGAGAAUGGUAGUAUGAACUGUUUGAAGGACAUGCUUGUAGCUUUCAAUAGUAAAAUCCAUUGCUUCUACCUUUUUAUUUGUGAUUGUUUUGUUGUCUCUCUAGCUAUAAACAUUGAAAUCCUUCUGUUCAUUCUUGGUGGUGUACAAUUCCUGAAGACAUAUUUAUGUGAAAACCUUUUAGUCUUCAUCUCAUGCCUACUAGCCGGUUUCUUUUUGUUUUGUUUCAGCACCAGGGAAAUGGUUCUUCUACUAUUUAUUUGAUUUUUUUUUUCUGUGUCCCAUGCUUCCUACUCAUGCAUUUUAACUUAUCUGAUGGAUGUUGGCCUUCCUUAUUCAUAGCCUGCAUCUUUUACAUCUUCUUUCAUCUUUUUGUUUGUCCUUUGCUUUGUAGUCUAAGGGGUAUUUAAAUAUAUCUCUUCUUUGUUUUCUAAUGAUUUAUAUCAUCAAACAUUUAAAUGCUAUGCAACUUUUAGUUUCUGUGAACUGUUUCAUUUUUAGUCAGCCUGUUCUUAUGGGUAUAUCUUGGUGAGAUUAACUUACAUGCUUCACACCCAGAACAUCUCCAAAGUUGUCCUCUCUGAAAAUUGUCUGUUUCUGCCAGUGCAUGCUUUUCCUCUUCACCUUGGCUACUUAUUUGGCUGUUGGUAGUUUUCCUCUAGUAUCUGAAAAUCCUGAAUUUCUAUGCUUAUAAUCAAGGGCUAUAUUGAUUAAUGCAAGUUAAUCAUUCAUAUUUCCUUUCUGCUUGGCACUUAUAAAUCAA